GCUGGAGUUAACAAAAAGUCCACUGACUCUGGACACUCAAAUUUUGCCAGGUCUCACCAGACUGGUGUUGGGUCCAGGGACAGGUCCACAGGCAACCCUGGACAUUUAAAUGUAACCCGAGCCAGUCAGUUGAGGGGUGCUGGGUCCAGUCAUCAGUCCAGCCACAGUGAUGUAUCCCAGCACAGUGACGGG